AUCACAACAGUGCGAACGUAGACAUGGGGUAGUAUAGUGCAGUAUCUGUUCUUAUCUGCUUAUUAUCGGAUACGGGCUCUAUUUCGACCCAAUAUAAAAAAAAACUUAUUUGGCAAGUUGUUGGAAUGCUUUAAGCCUGCUUCAUCUCCGCCGCUGUUCGGCCCGGUAUUUCACAAUCUCCGAGAUCAGUCCAUUGUUU